UAAAAGCUUAGGUUAAUUUAAACCCGGGGCCUUCAAAGCCCCAAACAAGGGCUCACCCCCCUUAGCUUUUG
rnacentral:tRNA from 1 species